rnacentral:rRNA from 1 species
CAGCAGCCGCGGGAAUACGGAGGGUGCAAGCGUUAAUCGGAAUUACUGGGCGUAAAGCGCACGCAGGCGGUCUGACAAGUCAGAUGUGAAAUCCCCGGGCUUAACCUGGGAACUGCAUUUGAAACUGUCAGGCUGGAGUGUUGUAGAGGGGGGUAGAAUUCCAGGUGUAGCGGUGAAAUGCGUAGAGAUCUGGAGGAAUACCGGUGGCGAAGGCGGCCCCCUGGACAAAGACUGACGCUCAGGUGCGAAAGCGUGGGGAGCAAACAGGAUUAGAUACCCCAGUAGUCCCUGUCUCUUAUAC